UUCUCUAGGCACUGCAGUAUAAGUGUAGGAAGUGAGGGAGUAAGGGUGGCAGGAUGGAGUGGGCUUUGUGGAAAGUUAGAAAAGACUUUAUAGAGAAGACAAAGCUGGCAUAGCCUUAACAAAUAAAGUGUUGACCAAUUAGAAAACACAGGUAAAAGUAUUUAAGUAGAGAGGAGAGCAGCGCAACAAAUGUAAAGAGGGAUGAAACACGCUGUUGUGUUUGGGGAACUACUAGUGGCUCAACAAAGCUGGAAGUGGAUGCUGCAGCAAGAAUUGGAGCUGGACAGGACAGAAUUGAAGUAAAUAGCGCAAGGACCAAUGCUGACCUCACGGUGGCACUCCAGUCUUCGAAUAAAGGGCUCUCUGGACUCAUCUUAUUGACCUCCAAAUGGACAGUCCACAUUGAAGUGAAGAGUUGACAUGAACUCUGGGCCCAUAGACCCCACAGUUUAAUUUCCUGAAGAGAAUCUACCAAGGACUUUGCUUUUCUGUUUUUAAAUCAGCUCUGACGUAAGGCUGGAUCAAUAGAAUAGGUGUCAAGUAUGCCCGAAUGUCUCCAUCCGUAAAAAAUUUCAUCAGGGUUCAAAAGUAACCAAAAUAAUUUCACCAUUAUUAUUUAUUAAUGGAUACCAUUUAUUGAAUGCCUGCUAUGUGCCACAUUGGGUUCAGGGUACUUUUCAUAUUAUAUGAGCUCAUUGAACUCACAAUAGCUCUAUGAGGUUGAUACUACAGUGUUCUCAUUUUUCUGAGAAGAAACUAGGGCUCAGAGACAUUAAGUAGCUUGCCUCUCACAUCAUAUAGGUAGUAAGUGGCCAUACUUGGUUUUGAACCCAAUCUGUGUGAUCCCCAAACUUGCGCUCUUUAAACAAGGCUGCAUUGCCUCUUAUUAUUGAUGCCAAGAUAAAAGCAGCAAUUAAUGAAACUUGGUUUUCUUCAGGUAUAGACUGUUUGGCAUGAGGUGGUUUAAAUAAUAUCAUAUUUAAGGAGAUCUAUUGCGGGCCCCUAUUGUGAAUUUGUGUCCUCUUCAUGAAACUCUUUGCCACAUAUGAGAAACAGGAUAUUUACAUAGUCACAAAGUGUGUCCCACAAGGUAUUGAUUAGUUACGAAGAGAAAAAUUGAAAAUUUACAGUGGAGCAACCUGGAAGAUACCAUGUGAAUGAAAUGGUCACAGUAUAAAUGGUAACAUAAAAGUGGUAAAAUAUCAAUAUGUACACCAUGGUCAUAUUCUUUUGCUUUUAUUGUGGAAGAGACAAAGGGACAAGGGAGGAUUUGCUGACACUGGUCAGGAGUGGAGUAGAGGACUAAUUCCUAUCUUUGAUCUCCAUCUGUGAAAGCCCAGAUCGCACAAAGAUUUCCAAAUGAAAUAUUUACAUUUCUAAGGGGUAGAGAAUUAUUCGUGAAUCCUAGACAAUAUACAAGGGAAGGCUCCCAAAAGAAAGAUACAAAUAAUAAAAUUCUAGAAUAAUGUUAUAGUACUGAUUGUAGGCUAUGGGGAGUGGGAGUUGGUUGUCCUACUAAUAAAAUGCUUAAUCAAGAGUGUAUGAUUUGUAAA
rnacentral:lncRNA from 1 species